rnacentral:rRNA from 1 species
GACGAACGCUGGCGGCGUGCUUAACACAUGCAAGUCGAACGGAAAGGCCCUGCUUUUGUGGGGUGCUCGAGUGGCGAACGGGGGAGUAACACGCGAGUAACAUGCCCUUGACUUUGUGAUAACUUCAGGAAACUGGGGCGAAUACCGGAGAGGAGCUCCUGCUGCAUGGGGUGGGUUGGAAAGUUUCGGCGGUUGGGGAUGGACUCGCGGCUUAUCAGCUUGUUGGUGGGGUAGUGGCUUACCAAGGCUUUGACGGGUAGCCGGCCUGAGAGGGUGACCGGCCACAUUGGGACUGCGAGACGGCCCAGACUCCUACGGGCGGCAGCAGUGGGGAAUAUUGCACAAUGGGCGGAAGCCUGAUGCAGCAACGCCGCGUGCGGGAUGACGGCCUUCGGGUUGUAAACCGCUUUCGCCUGUGACGAAGAGUGAGUGACGGUAAUGGGUAAAGAAGCACCGGCUAACUACGUG